UUUUUUUUGAUAAACUCUAUUAGCUGAUCAGCUCAGCUUUAGUAGAAACGCACCAAAGAGUUGAUUUUUUUCUGAAAGACAACCACAUCACAAUGUCUAACCCAUA
rnacentral:sRNA from 1 species